GACAGAGGAUGCAAGCGUUUAUCCGGAAUGAUUGGGCGUAAAGCGUCUGUAGGUGGCUUUUCAAGUCCGCCGUCAAAUCCCAGGGCUCAACCCUGGACAGGCGGUGGAAACUACCAAGCUGGAGUACGGUAGGGGCAGAGGGCUCGUAGAGCCGGUGGAGCGGUGAAAUGCGUAGAUAUCUGGAGGAACACCGGUGGCGAAGGCGGCAUCCUGGACCGGCAUUGACGCUGAGGCGCGAAAGCUAGGGGAGCAAACGGG
rnacentral:rRNA from 1 species